GAUGAACGCUAGCGGCAGGCUUAAUACAUGCAAGUCGAGGGGCAGCGCAGUGUAGCAAUACAUGGGCGGCGACCGGCAAACGGGUGCGUAACACGUACGCAACCUUCCCGUUACUGGGGAAUAGCCCAGGGAAACUUGGAUUAAUACCCCAUAUUAUAUUGGUUAGGCAUCUGACUGAUAUCAAAGCUUCGGCGGUAACGGAUGGGCGUGCGGUUGAUUAGGUAGUUGGCGGGGUAACGGCCCACCAAGCCUACGAUCAAUAGCUGAUGUGAGAGCAUGAUCAGCCACACGGGCACUGAGACACGGGCCCGACUCCUACGGGAGGCAGCAGUAAGGAAUAUUGGGCAAUGGACGAAAGUCUGACCCAGCCAUGCCGCGUGAAGGAUGAAGGUCCUCUGGAUUGUAAACUUCUUUUAUCUGGGGCGAAAAUCGGUUAUUCUUAGCCGCUUGACAGUACCAGAUGAAUAAGCACCGGCUAACUCCGUGCCAGCAGCCGCGGUAACAC
rnacentral:rRNA from 1 species